rnacentral:lncRNA from 1 species
GCGGGAAGCGAGGUCACCGUGGGAUUUCCUUACAGUCGCACUGUAAACAGCAGCAGUGUGUCACACCUUCUGGCUCUGUUUCAAGAUCAUUUGCUGCUCCCGACACUGCUGGAUUCGGGAAGCAGCCCCUCGAAGAUCGUGUGCUAGAAGAAGCACUUAGAAAAUCCAGAUGAUCUGUAUUUGGUAAAGGGGGGACUGAAGAGGGUGGGAUUCUUCUUGCACGUGGUAGAUACAGAUCUGAACUACAGUCAACUGAUUUUCUUUAUCCCUGGGACGGAAGUCGUUGGCGUAAAAUCCGAAGCAACCCUCCUUCCAGCUGUGCCUCGAGAGGGCGUUAGAGCUCUUCACGCGCCAUCACAGCCAGGGAAGAGGUUGGCUUUCGCUUUGCUGUGUGUUCACACUGUCCACUCGUUUGAUCUUCAUUUCAGGACUGUUUCCACGAUAUCCUGUCCGAGGGUGAUCACUCCAAAACCGCAUAUGGCACCGGAUGGUGAUGGAGAAAAGGGACAGUGUGGGAAGUGACGAAGGUGCCACAUGGCGUCAAACGUAGGAUUUAAUUCGAGGGGACAGGGAUGCUCAUCUCUCAGGAAGGUUGGAACAAGUUACAGGAGGGAAUGCAUGUGAAACCACAAACUCCUCUGUAAGGUA